rnacentral:snRNA from 1 species
AUACUUACCUGGCAGGUGAGAUCAUGAAAGCGGUUUUCCCAGGGAGAGGCACUACUGAUAUGCUGACCCCUGCAAUUUCCCCAAAUGUGGAAAACUCAACUGCAUAAUUGGUGUUAGUGGGUGACAGUGUUCAUGCUCCUCCAU